rnacentral:misc_RNA from 1 species
UCCGGUUUGUCCCCGGCAUGAUCCGCUGGCAACAUGGGACAGGGGUUGCGCUCGUUGCGCCACUUAAGGCAACACCUCACGGCACGAGCUGACGACGGCCAUGCAGCACCUGUGUGGGCUCCCGAAGGAGGACCGUAUUUCUACGACAUUCCAGUGCAUGUCAAACCCAGGUAAGGUUCUUCGCGUUGCAUCGAAUUAAUCCACAUGCUCCGCCGCUUGUGCGGGCCCCCGUCAAUUCCUUUGAGUUUUAGCCUUGCGGCCGUACUCCCCAGGCGGGGCGCUUAAUGCGUUAGCUACGGCACGGAUCCCGUGGAAGGAAACCCACACCUAGCGCCCACCGUUUACGGCGUGGACUAC